UGGACUUUGUUUUUCUCCGAGAUGGAGUCGUAUCAGGUGACAAACAUCAACCGUGAAGAUCGCACAGGUGUUUAACAGCGAUCACAAACCGAAAGUGUUUUAAAGACUUCUGGAUUCUGUUCCUACACAAGAUCGUCUGAACUACUGCAAACAGAGACACAUAGUCAUGUCCAGGUCCUGAUGAGCAUCUGAUGGUCUUCAGAGACACAAAGAUCUCAGUGUGGAGCUGUUCAUCUGCAGUAUGUCAGAGAAGAGAGGAAAGAUGAGUCUCUCACAGAAACAGAGUCAAAAGAGAAAAUGUUCAGACUCGCAUGUGUCCAGCUCUGUGUCUGUGAAGAGUGACCGGUCAAUGGGUGGAGUACCAGACUUCAGUGAAGAAACAACAUCACAAACCAAACGUAGCAGGCUUCAGAAUGAAACCUUAGAUCCAGAUUUCCAGACUAACAGGAACCACAAGGACUUUACAGACUGUUUCCUGCAGAUCUUCCAGGACCUUGAGAGCAAAAUAAUAACAUUUCUAAAGAAAGAACUGGAAAAGUUUAAGAAAAUAUUACAAAAAGAGGACAUGCAAUACUUUGUGAAGGAUUUUAAUGAUAAUAGAUGCAGUAACAAAGAAGCAGCUCUUGAUCUCACGCUCUACUUCCUGAGAGAGAUGAAGCAAGGUGAAGCUGCUGAUACUCUAGAAGAUGAGCUGAUCUUCAUUCAUCAGCUAAAAUGUAGCCUAAAGAAGAAGUAUCAAUGUGUGUUUGAAGGAACUGCAAAGCAAGGUGACUCCACACUUCUGAAUAACAUCUAUACAGAUCUCUAUAUCACUCAGGGUUGUAGUGAACAGGUCAAUACUGAACAUGAGGUAAGACAGAUUGAAGUUGCUUCCAGACAUCAUGAAUCACAGGAGAUACAGGUUGAAUGCAAGAAUUUGUUUGAAGCACCUGAACAAGACAAGCAGAUCAGAACUGUACUGACAAAAGGAGUUGCUGGCAUCGGAAAAUCAGUCUCUGUGCAGAAGUUUGUUCUGGAUUGGGCCGAUGGAAAAGAAAAUCAAGAUAUCAGCUUCAUAUUUCCUCUUCCAUUCAGAGAGAUGAACUUAAAGGAGAAAGAAAAACUAAGUUUGAUGGACCUUAUUACUCAGUUUUUCCCAGAGACAAAAGGACUGAAGCUUACAAGAAGAAAUCAGUUCAAUGUCUUGUUCAUUCUUGAUGGAUUGGAUGAAUGUCGACUUCCUGUAAACUUUAAGGAUAAUGAGACGUGGUCUGAUGUAUCAUCACCAGCCUCUCUGGAUGUUCUCCUAACGAACCUCAUCAAGAGAAAUCUGCUUCCUUCUGUUCUCAUCUGGAUCACCACCAGACCAGCAGCUGCCAGUAAGAUUCCUCCUGACUGUAUCGACCGGCUGACAGAGAUACGAGGAUUCAAUGAUGCACAAAAGGAGGAGUACUUUAGAAAAAGAUUCACGGAUGAGAAUCAGGCCAAAGAAAUCAUUUAUCAUGUUAAACAAUCAAAGAGUCUUUUUAUCAUGUGCCACAUCCCAGUCUUCUGCUGGAUUUCAGCCACUGUUCUCCAGAACAUUUUAGAGGAGAAAAUACAUAAAGAUGUGAAAAAUAAUCAGGCUGAAGAUGCCUCCAAAACACUGCAGGAGUUGAAAACUGAAGACACUCCUAAGACUCUGACACAAAUGUACACACACUUUCUCAGAUUUCAGAUCCAGCAGAGCAGACGAAAGUAUGAUGGAGAAUAUACACCAGAUGUUUCCUGGGAUAAAGAUGCCAUCUUUUCACUGGGGAAACUGGCAUUUGAUCAGCUGGAAAGAAACAAUGUGAUCUUCUAUGACACAGAUCUGGAAGCCUGUGGUAUUGACGUCUAUAAGGCAUCAGUGUACUCAGGCAUGUGUACCCAGAUCUUUAAGGAGGAAACGGGGAUUGUUCUUGGUACCAUGUACUGCUUCGUUCACUUGAGCAUUCAAGAAUUUAUUGCAGCCCUUUAUGCACAUAUGUUUCUAGACAUCAACAAGAAAUAUGUGUUUGAUCAAGACUCUACAGAACAGGAAAACAAAAGUGAAACCAUGUUUGAUUUGCUCAAGACUGCAGUGGACAAGGCACUAGAGAGUCAUAAUGGACACCUGGAUCUUUUUCUUCGAUUCCUCCUUGGUUUGUCCCUCCAGUCCAAUCAGAGACUCUUACAGGGUCUGUUGACUCAGCAAAAUGGAAAUGACCAGAGCAACAAGGAAAUAGUUCAUUAUAUCAAGCAGAAAAUUGAAGCUGAUCUGUCUCCAGAGAGAUCCAUCAAUCUGUUCUACUGUCUGAAUGAAUUGAACGACCAAACUCUGGUGAAAGAGAUUCAGACCCACCUUAGCAAAGGAAGUCUCUCAUCUGCUGAUCUUUCACCUGCCCAGUGGUCUGCUUUGGCCUUUGUGUUGUUAACAUCAGAGGAGGAGCUGGAGGAGUUUGAGCUUCAGAAAUUCAAGAAAUCAGACGAGUGUCUCAUUAGAUUAUCAGCAGUCAUCAAAACCUCUAAAAUAGCUCUGCUAAAUGAUUGUGACUUAACAAACAAAAGCUGUUCAGCUUUGGCUACAGUUCUCGGAUCAGAUACCAGUCUGAAAGAGCUGAACAUGAACAAUAAUAAUCUGCAGGAUUCCGGAGUGAAGCUGCUCUGCACUGGACUGACAAAUAUAAAUUGCAAAUUAGAGAUACUGAGGCUGCGUGAUUGUGGUCUAACAGAGGAAAGCUGUUCAGCUCUCGCUACAGUCCUGAGAUCAAACUCCAGUCUGAAAGAGCUUGACAUGAGGAACAAUAAUCUGCAGGAUUCAGGAGUGAAGAAACUCCAGAACGGAUUAGAAAAUACAAAAUGCACAUUGGAGAAACUCAGACUUUCAGACUGUAGUAUCACUGAAGAAGGUUAUAAAGCUCUGUCUUCAGCUCUGAGAUCAAACCCUUCACACCUGAUAGAGCUGGAUCUCACGGGAAAUGAUCCUGGACAAUCAGGAGUGAAGCAGCUCAAUGAUUUACUGCAGGAUCCAAACUGUCAACUGAAGACACUGAGGUUUUUGGGUCCUGCUGCAGAUGAAGCCUGUCAGUAUGUGACUGGAAUUGUGGGUAAAAACCCGUUACUUCUGAGAGAGCUGAAUCUGAGUUUACAUGAUCUAGGAGACACACGAGUGAAUCAGAUGACUGCUCUACUGCAGGAUAAACACUGUCAACUCAACACACUGAUUCUGCGUGUAUGCAGUAUUACAGAGAAACAGUGUCUCAUCCUGACUUCAGCUCUGAAAUCAAACCCAUCACACCUGAGAGAGCUGAACCUGAAUGGGAAUCAAAUAAAAAACACAGGAGUGAAUCACUUAUGUGACGUACUGAAGGAUUCACACUGUAAACUGGAGAGAUUGAGGUUAGGUUACUGUGAAAUGACAGAUGAAGGUUGUUCUGCUGUGACUUCAGCUCUGAAAUCAAACCCAUCACACCUGAGAGAACUGAACCUGAGCUGGAAUAAAUUAGGAGACUCUGGAGUGAAAAACCUUAGUGAUCUACUGAUGAACACACAAUGCAAGCUGGAGAAACUAGAUCUGCGUGUAUGCAGUAUUACAGAGGAACAGUGUCUCAUCCUGACUUCAGCUCUGAAAUCAAACCCAUCACACCUGAGAGAACUGAACCUGAGCAGGAAUCAAAUAAAAAACACAGGAGUGAAUCACUUAUGUGACGUACUGAAGGAUUCACACUGUAAACUGGAGAGAUUGAGUCUUUAUGACUGUGGCAUUACAGAUGUUUCUUCUUUAACUCAGUCUUUGACAAACACAAAAGUACUGCAGUUUCUAAAAGAGCUUGAUCUGAGACACAAUAUGAUUAGAGACUCAAAGCAGCAGCUCAUUGAUGUGCUACAAGACUCAAACUGUUACCUGAGAUGAACGUUAUAAUAAACCCAAACUCACAACAACAUGCAGAGAUGGAGUUUGAGACGCUCCACACAUGUAAAUGAUAACAGUUUCUGUGGAACUACUGUGAACGGAGCCGCUGUGUGACGCACGUACUUAACAUACACGCAUUGUAGAUGAAGAUUCAUUGUCAAGAGUUCCUCAUAGAAUUCAGAGGAAGAAGCUCAGAUGAGUCUGUCUGGCUCUUCAGUUUAAUAAUAUUUGUAUUAAACUCAUCUAUAAUGAUUCAAAUGUUUAAAUGUGAUUGUCAAGUGCAGCACUUAAAUGUAUCAAAAGAUAUAAAGCAAAUCUUCAAUGUGAAAUUUCCAUGUUACUUUCAACAUUUCCAUGAUCUCUCUUACAUUUUAUCCACAUUGUUAUUCUGUUUAAUUGUAUAUAAAGUUAGCUAUGUGUCUAACAAUGCUAACAAUCACAAAUCCUCUCAUUACAACAAACAAAGCGGAAACACAAUGUAAAUAAAAGAUGGAUUGUGCACUUUUGACAUGAAUUGAUUAAAACGGGAGUUUUCACACACAGUGAGUUUGUUCUGAACUGACUGACAGCUUCAGUGUUUAUAAAUGCUGUGCCUUUUA